UACAGAAUAGCUCAGAUGGUAAAGAAUCUGCCUGCAAUGCAGAAGACCCAGGUUCGAUCCCUGGGUCGGGAA
rnacentral:tRNA from 1 species